AGCUAAUAGAUACCCAGGUAGUCCACGCCGUAAACUAUGGAUGCUAGCUGUUAGAGGUAUCGACCCCUCUAGUAGCGAAAGCUAACGCGUUAAGCAUCCCGCCUGUGGAGUACGGUCGCAAGACUAAAACAUAAAGGAAUUGACGGGGACCCGCACAAGCGGUGGAGCGUGUUGUUUAAUUCGAUGGUAAGCGAAGAACCUUACCCAGGCUUGACAUCCUUGGAAUUUUGGCGAAAGCCGAGAGUGCCUUCGGGAACCAAGUGACAGGUGUUGCAUGGCCGUCGUCAGCUCGUGUCGUGAGAUGUUUGGUUAAGUCCAUCAACGAGCGCAACCCUUAUAGUUAGUUGAAUUUUUCUAGCUAGACUGCCCUGGCAACAGGGAGGAAGGAGGGGAUGAUGUCAGGUCAGUAUUACCCUUACGUCUGGGGCUACAAACACGCUACAAUGGCCGGUACAAAGGGCAGCCAAGUCGCGAGACGGAGCAAAUCCCAUCAAAGCCGGUCUAAGUUCGGAUAGCAGGCUGAAACUCGCCUGCUUGAAGCU
rnacentral:rRNA from 1 species